rnacentral:rRNA from 1 species
CAACCUACCUAUCAGAGGGGAAUAACCCGGCGAAAGUCGGACUAAUACCGCAUAAAACAGGGGCACCGCAUGGUGAUAUUUGUUAAAGAAAUUCGCUGAUAGAUGGGCAUGCGUUCCAUUAGGUAGUUGGUGAGGUAACGGCUCACCAAGCCGACGAUGGAUAGGGGAACUGGGAGGUUGGUCCCCCACACUGGUACUGAGACACGGACCAGACUCCUACGGGAGGCAGCAGUGAGGAAUAUUGGUCAAUGGGCGGGAGCCUGAACCAGCCAAGUCGCGUGAAGGAAGAAGGAUCUAUGGUUCGUAAACUUCUUUUGCAGGGGAAUAAAGUGCAGGACGUGUCCUGUUUUGUAUGUACCCUGAGAAUAAGGAUCGGCUAACUCCGUGCCAGCAGCCGCGGUAAUACGGAGGAUCCGAGCGUUAUCCGGAUUUAUUGGGUUUAAAGGGUGCGUAGGUGGUUUGAUAAGUCAGCGGUGAAAGUUUGCAGCUUAACUGUAAAAAUGCCGUUGAAACUGUCGGACUUGAGUGUAAAUGAGGUAGGCGGAAUGCGUGGUGUAGCGGUGAAAUGCAUAGAUAUCACGAAGAACUCCGAUUG